UACGAAGGGGGCGAGCGUUGUUCGGAUUUACUGGGCGUAAAGGGAGCGUAGGCGGGCUUCUAAGUUAGGUGUUUAAUCCCAGGGCCCAACCCUGGUCAGGCACCUAAAACUGGGAGUCUUGAAUAGUGGAGAGGACGAUGGAAUUGGGGGUGUAGCGGUGGAAUGCGUAGAGAUCCCCAAGAACACCAGUUGCGAAGGCGGUCGUCUGGACACAUAUUGACGCUGAGGCUCGAAAGCAUGGGGAGCAAACAGG
rnacentral:rRNA from 1 species